rnacentral:tRNA from 1 species
UAUAUUUAAGUGUUCUGCACAUAAGAUUUUGAAUUUUAUAGUAAUAAUUAUAAAUUAUUAAAUAUAA